rnacentral:rRNA from 1 species
UCCUAGCAGGCAACUAAAGAGGCCGGAAACCCCCUAACACUUAGAACCCAUCGUUUACGGCGUGGACUACCAGGGUAUUUAAUCCUGUUCGCUCCCCACGCUUUCGCUCCUCAGCGUCAGUUACAGACCAGAGAGUCCCCCCCGCCACUGUUGUUCCUCCACAUCUCUACGCAUUUCACCGCUACACGUGGAAUUCCACUCUCCUCUUCUGCACUCAAGUUCCCCAGAUUCCAAUGACCCUCCCAGGUUGAGCCGGGGCCUUUCAUAUCAAUUUAAAAAACCGUCUGCGACUCUCUCGGCCAGAAUUCCGGACAACUUGUGACACCACCUACAUUGCUCCUGCUCGUAGAAAAAGUAGUAUUUGUUGUGCUCGCCUCCUGUAGGUAGUGGUGGAAGUGAUCGGUUUUUCCGUUGCAGGAUUAGAUCCUAACAGUCUUCUAGUGCUCUGGACCAUUGAAGAAGGGCAACGAAUCUUAAUUUUGUGUUCGAGGUGGCGAAUAACCCCCCGGCAGUUUAAGGAAUCUCAAAGUCAGAACGCAGGUUUUAAGGGGGCCGACCCAAAAAUUCCCCCAUAAACGAUCGGUUGAAUUUUUUUGAGUGAUGAAGGUUUUCGGAUCGUAAAGCUCUGUUGUUAGGGAAGAACAAGUGCCGUUCAAAUAGGGCGGCACCUUGACGGUACCUAACCAGAAAGCCACGGCUAACUACGUGCCAGCAGCCGCGGUAAUACGUAGGUGGCAAGCGUUGUCCGGAAUUAUUGGGCGUAAAGGGCUCGCAGGCGGUUUCUUAAGUCUGAUGUGAAAGCCCCCGGCUCAACCGGGGAGGGUCAUUGGAAACUGGGGAACUUGAGUGCAGAAGAGGAGAGUGGAAUUCCACGUGUAGCGGUGAAAUGCGUAGAGAUGUGGAGGAACACCAGUGGCGAAGGCGACUCUCUGGUCUGUAACUGACGCUGAGGAGCGAAAGCGUGGGGAGCGAACAGGAUUAAAUACCCUGGUAGUCCACGCCGUAAACGAUGAGUGCUAAGUGUUAGGGGGUUUCCGCCCCUUAGUGCUGCAGC